CCAAAUACAGCCUCCUAAGUCCCAGCCAAGACCUGCUGAGGCAGCCUCUCUGGAGCAAGGCCCAGGAGUCUGCACUUUAUCCAGCAGGCCGCGUAACCUCAUCGCAGCCUAGUUCCCUAGGAGUGGCUGCGCGUUGUUGUGGCUGCACAGUGUUGAGAGGGAUUCUGAAGCUGUAUACUGAUUGACUAAGGAUGUCUGUCACAAGCUUUGAAAGGGAGAUGAUGAUACAUCACGUCUCGAGCUAGAAGCAUCUUAGAUGAGAUGUCACACCCUGAGAGGAGCCUUCCCGGGCCACCUAAAGCAGCACAACACAACCCUCCUGUCACUGACUACCACUUCUCCGGCACCUCACUGACUAUAAGCCCCAUGAAGGCAAGACUGCGUCUCUUUGGCGCACCACGUCCUCCUUGCUCUUCGCAGAAAGUGCGUGCUCAUCAAGCAAGUUUUGAAUGCAUGACUAAAGCAUCGGGGCAUUGCCAUCCCGGGACUCCAUGCCUGGCACCACGCAAGCACAGAAGAUAUGAUGCCACCUGGCAGAGACCGACAUUCAGAUAAAGAGAUGAGACCUGCUCAGAAGAAGGCGUAAAACUUGAACCCAAUGAAGGAAGCGAAGUGUUAUGAGACUACACGAAAACAAAAAACUUUAAAAAA
rnacentral:lncRNA from 1 species